rnacentral:rRNA from 1 species
GAUGAACGCUGGCGGCGUGCCUAAUACAUGCAAGUCGAGCGAAUGGAUUAAGAGCUUGCUCUUAUGAAGUUAGCGGCGGACGGGUGAGUAACACGUGGGUAACCUGCCCAUAAGACUGGGAUAACUCCGGAAACCGGGGCUAAUACCGGAUAACAUUUUGAACCGCAUGGUUCGAAAUUGAAAGGCGGCUUCGGCUGUCACUUAUGGAUGGACCCGCGUCGCAUUAGCUAGUUGGUGAGGUAACGGCUCACCAAGGCAACGAUGCGUAGCCGACCUGCGAGGGUGAUCGGCAAGACUGGGACUGAGACACGGCCCAGACUCCUACGGGAGGCAGCAGUAGGGAAUCUUCCGCAAUGGACGAAAGUCUGACGGAGCAACGCCGCGUGAGUGAUGAAGGCUUUCGGGUCGUAAAACUCUGUUGUUAGGGAAGAACAAGUGCUAGUUGAAUAAGCUGGCACCUUGACGGUACCUAACCAGAAAGCCACGGCUAACUACGUGCCAGCCGCCGCCGUAA